UACGUAGGGGGCAAGCGUUGUCCGGAAUCAUUGGGCGUAAAGCGCGUGUAGGCGGUCCGGUAAGUCCGCUGUGAAAGUCGGGGGCUCAACCCUCGGAUGCCGGUGGAUACUGUCGGGCUUGAGUACGGAAGAGGCGAGUGGAAUUCCUGGUGUAGCGGUGAAAUGCGCAGAUAUCAGGAGGAACACCAAUUAGCGAAGGCAGCUCGCUGGGACGUUACUGACGCUGAGACGCGAAAGCGUGGGGAGCAAACAGG
rnacentral:rRNA from 1 species